GGCUAGAAGCAGCUAGCGUUAUGUCAAGCUAUAGUUCAGACACCUUCAAGAUGGCAGCACUCGAUGUCUCCAAGCCAUACACUUCUAGCCAUUGUGAAAUUACUUAGAAAAAGUCAAAAUUUCGAAGGCAUUGCCAGGGAGGAUUCAGGGAAGCAUCAACGUAUUUUGGAGGGGGCGCGGUAAGGGGAGGGGGUGACACGGUUAAUUUUGUUAACGUGGAAGUUGCCGGCAUGCUUCGGAUAGUUACGUUGAUAUGGCAUAUAUGUAAUCAGCACCACAAAUGGAGCACGCGCGUGCCAGGAGUGUAUAAGAUCGGCUGUCUCCUAUCGCGGACAGCCAAUUUUUUUAUGCGAACACCCCUUGGCACGCUUAUUCGGCCUCCGCGGCUCCAACCGUUGCUCCAACCCACGGGCCGCCCUGCUUCCAGCUUUGAUCCCCCGCUACCCCUUGGGUGCCCCGGAGAUCCUGCGCCGCCUGCUUUAUUAUAAGCUCAGGUGCUGUCCUGAGGCCUCCGUUUGCUGGUCGUAUGUGCCCUCCUGGAGCAGUGCUUGUAAAAAAUCCAAUCUAUCGUCGCUACGAAAAAAGCGACCCGCUACUUAUACAACACCAGUCAGAACAUUUGCCCUUCAGACACAGCGAUCACUAAAUGGGGCGUCCGCGCCCACUGCCUCGACGCGCGGGCAGCCAGCAGCUCGUAAACAAACUCGACCGCACUCCGCAACGCCGGCAUGUCUGGGGACAAACGAAUAUAACACGCGCUAAGAAACCUCCUCCGUAGUGCCUAGGCAACCAUAUAUUCAAGGAGCAAAAGCCCCCAGAUUUUUUCUCUCGUGCUCGCCCUUACAACCUUUCCUUUCUCCAAGCGAACCACUUGUUGCGGUGCCUGACGUUCAGAAGUGGAAAAUUGAAGAAGCCCGUUGUGUCACUUCAUUUCUUAUUGUGACCAUGUCUGCAGUGGUGUCCGGUCGUCAGCCUCGUCAGCAGGCGCAUGCCUUUCAAGGAUGCUCAAGCCAGCCAGCAAGAGAGUGAUCUUCCCCAAGUACGAUUUGCCCUCUAGCCCCACAUAGCAUCAUCCCAUGUACCUUUAGGAGUGCCAACAAAUUUUCUUCCUCAUUUGAAACAGCUUGUGUAGAAUACUAUUAACCAUGGAGUCUGCCAAUCCCUGCGGAAGCAGCUGCAUCUUUCUCCGAGGUGGUACGAAGAAGGAAGUUCCGUAGCUGUGAUAUCAUUGACCAACUGCCUGGGAGUCCCAGUUGUCCAUAGAAGAUUGCAACAAAGUAUUCCAGGUUGAAAAUCAAGCCUUUCUGUAUAGCAGAAAUGGUGGGCCUCCUAAUCAAAACAUGGCCCCAGGGCCCACAAUGAGCUCUUUGUGGUAGGCCAACCACAGUUCAGUUGUAAUUCCAAUUGCCAAGUUUUCAAAGCACCACAAAUGAGUUUUGUGUGUGUGUGAUAAUGGUGUAGUUUUUGCAGCCAUGAUUUAAGCAAAAUAAGUCUUUUAGAACAUUGGUUACUACUGAAAAGAUAUAUUCAAGAAAGCACUGUGAAUGCACCUCAGCUUACAAUUCCAUCCAAGUCUUAGCCUGUUGUUUCUAUGCACUGUUUGCUUUACUUGAAAAUAAAGUCUAAUACAUUUAGUGAUGCUCUUAAAAAAGCUAAUUGGUCAAUGUACCCAUUUUAUAAGCCUUUUAACUGAAACAAUCUUGUUUUUACUUGCAUUGGUAACUAAGAUUUAUAAGUUCUCUGUAAAGAAGUUGCAUUCACUAAGGACCCACUGUAUUAGUCGUAUUCAUGGCAACCAUACUAAAUCACAUUUGUAUUUAUGAAAUAAACUGCAUUUUUAUUGCUCCCUUAA